rfam:Triticum aestivum genome assembly, contig: Triticum_aestivum_CS42_TGACv1_scaffold_177171_2DS
UAAGUACUCCCUCCGUCCGGAAAUACUCGUCGGAGGAUUGGAUGUAUCUAGAUGUAUUUUAGUUCUAAAUACAUUCAUUUUUAUGCAUUUCUCUGACAAGUAUUUCCGGAUGGAGGGAGUACGUC